UCAGGUUGAAACACUGGUUUCCACAUGAUCACUGAAGUUAAGCAACAUUGUGCCUGGUCUGAACCUAGAUGGGUGACCACUUUGGAAUACCAGAUGCUAU